GAUGAAGAACGUAGCGAAAUGCGAUAAGUAGUGUGAAUUGCAGAAUUCAGUGAAUCAUCGAAUCUUUGAACGCACAUUGCGCCCCUUGGUAUUCCAUGGGGCAUGCCUGUUCGAGCGUCAUUUGUACCUUCAAGCUUUGCUUGGUGUUGGGUGUUUGUCUCGCCUUUGCGUGUAGACUCGCCUUAAAAUAAUUGGCAGCCGGCGUAUUGAUUUCGGAGCGCAGUACAUCUCGCGCUUUGCACUCAUAACGACAGCGUCCAAAAGUACAUUUUACACUCUUGACCUCGGAUCAGGUAGGGAUACCCGCUGAACUUAAGCAUAUCCAAUAAGCGGAGGA
rnacentral:misc_RNA from 1 species